rnacentral:lncRNA from 1 species
CGCCAUCGUACCAAGCGGAGAAGCAGCAUCGAGCUCGUCGCAGCCGUUCUUGCUCAGGAGUAGAAAGUUUCACUUUUCUCCUUGUCUUUGCCACGCGGCUGCAUCUCGUGAAACAGAGCCAGCUCUUCGUCUCUGUUGUUGGCAUUUCCCGAAGCUUCUUUCUAUUUCAGUCUAGUCAGUCCAAGCAAGCAAUCAACACAGAGGAAGGAGAAGAGGGCUCUUCUUAAUUAUUCGGUGUGCAAGAAUUUCAGAAGGCCGGUAAGCUAAUUUCACACCGGAACCACCUCGAUCCUCACUGCUUUGCUUUUGCUCUUCCCCGCCACCGUGAUCAAACUUGACCCUCGAACUCGCGGCGGCGAUGGCGACCUCGGAUUUGGGUUGGCGAUGGCCCUCGGACUCAGCCCCCAUAGCAGCUUCGAC